rnacentral:rRNA from 1 species
CUCAGAUUGAACCUGGCGGUUACUUUACACAUGCAAGUCGUGCGGCAGCGCGGGACUCAGGCAACUGAGCCCUGGCGGCGAGCGGCGAACGGGUGAGGAAUACAUCGGAACGUACCCCGGAGUGGGGGAUAACCCAGCGAAAGUUGGACUAAUACCGCAUAUGCUCUGAGGAGGAAAGCAGGGACUUCGCAAGAGGCCUUGCGCUCUGGGAGCGGCCGAUGUCCGAUUAGCUAGUUGGUGGGGUAAUGGCUCACCAAGGCGACGAUCGGUAGCUGGUCUGAGAGGAUGAUCAGCCACACUGGGACUGAGACACGGCCCAGACUCCUACGGGAGGCAGCAGUGGGGAAUUUUGGACAAUGGGGGCAACCCUGAUCCAGCCAUGCCGCGUGCGGGAAGAAGGCCUUCGGGUUGUAAACCGCUUUUGGUCGGGAAGAAAGGGCAGGCUUGAAUACGGCCUGUCUUUGACGGUACCGGCAGAAUAAGCACCGGCUAACUACGUGCCAGCAGCCGCGGUAAUACGUAGGGUGCGAGCGUUAAUCGGAAUUACUGGGCGUAAAGCGUGCGUAGGCGGUUCGUUAUGUCUGCUGUGAAAGCCCCGGGCUCAACCUGGGAAUGGCAGUGGAAACUGGCGGGCUGGAGGGUGGCAGAGGGGGGUGGAAUUCCGCGUGUAGCAGUGAAAUGCGUAGAGAUGCGGAGGAACACCGAUGGCGAAGGCA